rnacentral:rRNA from 1 species
GAUGAACGCUGGCGGCGUGCCUAACACAUGCAAGUCGAGCGAGGAAGCCUUCGGGUGACCUAGCGGCGGACGGGUGAGUAACACGUGGGUAACCUGCCUCACACAGGGGGAUAGCCUUCCGAAAGGAAGAUUAAUACCGCAUAAGAAGUAGAAGUGGCAUCACUUCAGCUUUAAAAGGAGUAAUCCGGUGUGAGAUGGACCCGCGGCGCAUUAGCUAGUUGGUGAGGUAAAGGCUCACCAAGGCGACGAUGCGUAGCCGACCUGAGAGGGUGAUCGGCCACAUUGGAACUGAGACACGGUCCAGACUCCUACGGGAGGCAG